UCAAGAUGAGGCUGGGGUUUCAGAUUCUUAACUAGUAUCCACCUAAGAAUUCCUCAAUUUAAGCAGGUAGUCCAAUGUUAACAAGCAUAAACCACACUAAAAGCCAUUGGCAGCCUAGCCCAAACUUCAAAGUUCACAUGAUCCCCUGCAUCAUAUUGCCCUCCCACCAAGUCCACCUGCACCGAAUAACAACCAGUUAAUAAGACAAUUGAGCUAGUAAUCCACUAGUUACCUGUAAACUUGUUCAUUAGGCUACUUAAUUAGGUUUAAUCGAGUCAAUUUUAUAGUAAAAUAUAAAAUACAUGUAAUUUUUUACUUGUCAAUUUAUAAUUUUAAUCCUAAACUGAACAACUUUUAAAGUAAGCCAAGGUCCAUCAAAGGACCAACAUAAAGGCUUUGAUUCUAUAACCAGUUCCGACUACUUCCAGUUCACCAAGCAAAUGAGAAGUAAAUCCUCAACCUUGAAAGGAAGUAAGUCCUCCAUCUUUAGGCAAGUCAGAAGUCCAGAGGGGUAAAUAAUAUUUAUUAUAAGGACAAUUACCUUUUUAAAAAUUCAAAUUCUUUUAAAAUGGCUAAUUCAGUCCCUCAAUUAACUUGCAAAAGAAUUGACAACAAUUUAAAACCACCCGAAAAUUAAAGAGAAUUAAGAAUUCAACAAUGCUUAACAAGGGCUAGAACUGCACAUAUUAAAAAUCCAAAACAGUUUCAGGUAGUAAAGACUUUUAUUGUAAUGUAAUAUGCUGCUCGAUUAAGAAACCCAAGAAAAGUAAAUAGUAGGUGCAGCAAUUUAGAGAAUUGAGAAUUGCUCACACUUCAAUGCCAACUUUGGCCCUAAGCAGCAAAACAUCAUUCAGCCAUUCAAUUGUAUUUGGGACUCCAAGAUUACUAGGACGCAUAAGAAAACUUAGCUUUGAAGAGAGAGUUUUGACCAUGCAAGAAGCACAGAGCUAAGGCGCCUUAGUGUAACACCAUAAAAGGGGGGAGCGAUUUAUGGUAUAUUUUGUCGA
rnacentral:misc_RNA from 1 species